UUGGAAAGAAAGUUUUCACAUUGCCUGGGAAAUAUGUUCAAAACCGUUUGUCGGACUUAUCUAUUCUUAGAGAAAAGUUGUACACCGAAAUAAUGAGCACUUCAUAUUUAUACAUGGAGGCAUUUCAAAUUACUUCUUCAAUUAAACUCGAAGACAUAAAAGUUUAUCAAAGUUUUUCUUGUUUCUCUGAAGAAUUUGAGGAACUUUUGGGGCAUUCUGAUGAGAUAGAACAUUUGUCAGAAAAUCUUAUUGUAAAAAUUGAAUGUUCCAGCCAAGAUCCCUUAAAGGAACCACCAUCAUUUCAUUUUGUAGCCAGCAACAGUUCAUCGGUAUAUUCCACUGGGAAGGAAUAUUGUUUAAAUCGUUAAGAGUGUGUGCUCCCAGCCACACCUCAGAUAACAUCAGACACAUAUGGUGCUUUGGGAGAAACAGAAGCAUGUUUUCUCCAACCUACAACCCAAUUUAUGACACC